rnacentral:rRNA from 1 species
AGAGUUUGAUCAUGGCUCAGAUUGAACGCUGGCGGCAUGCUUUACACAUGCAAGUCGAACGGCAGCGCGGGGCAACCCUGGCGGCGAGUGGCGAACGGGUGAGUAAUGCAUCGGAACGUAUCCUGUAAUGGGGGAUAACGUAGCGAAAGUUACGCUAAUACCGCAUACGCUCGAGAGAGGAAUGGGGGAUCGCAAGACCUCACGUUAUAGGAGCGGCCGAUGUCCGAUUAGCUAGUUGGUGGGGUAAAGGCCUACCAAGGCGACGAUCGGUAGCUGGUCUGAGAGGAUGAUCAGCCACACUGGGACUGAGACACGGCCCAGACUCCUACGGGAGGCAGCAGUGGGGAAUUUUGGACAAUGGGCGAAAGCCUGAUCCAGCCAUGCCGCGUGCGGGAAGAAGGCCUUCGGGUUGUAAACCGCUUUAGUCCGGGAAAAAGGGGUGCGAGGAUAAUACCCUCGUGCUUUGAUGGUACUGGAAGAAUAAGCACCGGCUAACUACGUG